rnacentral:lncRNA from 1 species
UCUCCCUUUCCAGAUUGAGCAGGAUGGUCGUGGGGGCUGCUGGAGGGAUUUCUGUGUCCUGUCCUGGAGAACAUGGUCACAGAGGGGAGGCAGGGAGGGUCAGGCCCGCUCUCACUGUGCCGUCAGUCCUGCAGCAGAAAGUCAGUCUGAAGUUGGGCCAGUGCAUCUACAUGGAACAAAAGGCAAGUUGGAGGGACACCCUGCAAUGGUUCUUUAGGAUCUACAGAGGGGUGGCAAAUGCCCACAGCUGGGGCAGGUCGUACACACAAAUGAAGCUGUCCAGAUGUUAGCUGAGAUUGGUGGGAAAUAUGGGGACCAGGAAAACAUAGGCCUCCCCCAGGGAAUUUCAACUCAUCUUUAAUCCUGUGCAAACCAAACAAAACUGGACAGAGUCCCAGAGUCAUUGGUUUGUGAUCCUAUUAGAGGGACAAGGCCUGGGGAUCCACAUCACACCUGGCAGCAAGUGUCUGAAGAACUGCCACUUUGUCUUCUGUCCUACCUUCUUGGAUGUGCUGUCUAUCAGUUGCCUAACUUUGGGCUUUUGGAACCUGGCUCAUCUUCAUCUUCAUGUCAUGUCUUCAUCUUCAUCUGCAUGUCAACAACCACAUCACCGACUUUACAACCAACUUCCUGACCUUACAGACCCUCAGUCUUCACUUCUCAUGGCCCUAAACUCCAUUCAGGACUGGACCUUGAGAUGGGGUGAAAUGUAACUUGCAACUUGGAAACACAUGGCAGUUUGCUACCUCUGAACCUGUGUCAGUCACUGACUUUCUCCAUAGCCCUAAGCUGUAGGCUGACAGCCAAAGUAUUUUUGGAGGCUUAAACCCACCAGCUGAAAGAACAGACCCUCCUGCUGCCCCUUAGCAUCCCGUGGUCUGAGACAAGCCUGGACCCCUUCACAGCCUCCGCUGCCAGAGCUCUGCUGGGCUCUGCUGGGCUCCCUUGUUGGUGCACCCUAAGUCGUCUCCACGUUCUGGUUUGUCUCCAGUCCACCCACUGGGACUAGAGCCAUGCGCCGAAGUGCAGGUGGAAGCACUGACGCCCUGCCCAGUCCUGACCAGACCCCUUCUCAAGGGGUUAGCCUCUGCCCUAUUCUUCCAGCAAGGUGCCAGACAGAUCAAGUGGAACAAGAAUAUCAUUACCUUCCUAGUCCACCUGCCUUUACUGGAAACUUCUGCUCUUGCCCAAAUACUGGAACAGAUUUCCCCUUGGAAAAUGACCCUGGCUUGGAUCUUGCCCCUGUCUGCCACACCUAUUCCCAGCUUCCUCUUUCUCCUGGCUGAAGCCCCAAAACGCUGCCCUGCCAAGUCGCACAGCUCUGGUUCUGGGGCUGCUGAAUUUUCACCUGGGGACAAGGAAAAAUUGAAAAUCAGCACGCUGACAAUAAAAGUUGCUUUGAAAAUACAUCUCACAAGUCACACUUGUUCAGUUCCACAGUGAAGCUGUAUUUCUGGUUAUUUCCUUCGACUGCACCCAGGGGGAAGCCUUGGAUUCCUGCACACUAUUGCUCCCAGAAAGCCCACCUUCAGGGGAGCAGCUUGAUCCUCUGCCCGUCUUCAACCUGGGUACAGCCCUGCAAUAGUGCAAAUGAGGCCAGACGGAACUCAUUCCUGAAGCCAAACCCCCAAGGUUUGCAGACAGAGCUUCUUCCUGUGCCAUUGUCAUCAACUUGUGAUGAUGCUCCAGUCUUCAUCCCCAGAAACCCAUGCACUUGGCCACCCACUCCCAAAGUGAAAUUGCUUACUCUGGGACACAGCUUCUACUUAAGGAGAAAUGAAGCCUUGGGAAAAUCCGAUUGAUCCCAGACCAAGCUCCCAGGCUGAAAUAGCACGGCAGUGCUAAGAGCAUCUGGACCCUGCCCUCCUUCUCAAAGGCCUACACCAAGGGCCUAGACCCUCAUAGCCCUCUUCAUGCAGAAUAUAGAAUUCAUAAAGUAACUGGAAAACUUUCUUUUCAGGUUGAGCUUGGUUACAGUUUGUAUAGUUGUAUCCCCAUAUAAGAGAGGUAGAAACAAAAAAAGCAGACCUUGGAAAUGCUCCAUUUCACCCUCCAGUUAUCAAUCCCAGGUCACCAGCUGGGACUUAGAGGAAUCCUGAGGACAGGCUUACAUAAAUAAGAGCAGUCCCUCAUUUGCUUAAUUCCUGAGAUAUUUCUGAACACCACUGCCCCAAGCUCUAUUCUGGCAGCUCUAAUUCAUUUCUCU